UGGGGAAUAUUGCACAAUGGGCGCAAGCCUGAUGCAGCCAUGCCGCGUGUAUGAAGAAGGCCUUCGGGUUGUAAAGUACUUUCAGCGAGGAGGAAGGCGUUGUGGUUAAUAACCGCAACGAUUGACGUUACUCGCAGAAGAAGCACCGGCUAACUCCGUGCCAGCAGCCGCGGUAAUACGGAGGGUGCAAGCGUUAAUCGGAAUUACUGGGCGUAAAGCGCACGCAGGCGGUCUGUCAAGUCGGAUGUGAAAUCCCCGGGCUCAACCUGGGAACUGCAUCCGAAACUGGCAGGCUAGAGUCUUGUAGAGGGGGGUAGAAUUCCAGGUGUAGCGGUGAAAUGCGUAGAGAUCUGGAGGAAUACCGGUGGCGAAGGCGGCCCCCUGGAUAAAGACUGACGCUCAGGUGCGAAAGCGUGGGGAGCAAACA
rnacentral:rRNA from 1 species